rnacentral:rRNA from 1 species
CGCGUAGGCGGGAAUGCAAGUCAGAUGUGAAAUCCAAGGGCUCAACCCUUGAACUGCAUUUGAAACUGUAUUUCUUGAGUGUCGGAGAGGUUGACGGAAUUCCUAGUGUAGCGGUGAAAUGCGUAGAUAUUAGGAGGAACACCAGUGGCGAAGGCGGUCAACUGGACGAUAACUGACGCUGAGGCGCGAAAGCGUGGGGAGCAAACA